rnacentral:rRNA from 1 species
AUUGAACGCUGGCGGCAUGCCUUACACAUGCAAGUCGAACGGUAACAGGUCUUCGGAUGCUGACGAGUGGCGAACGGGUGAGUAAUACAUCGGAACGUGCCUAGUAGUGGGGGAUAACUACUCGAAAGAGUGACUAAUACCGCAUGAGAUCUACGGAUGAAAGCAGGGGAUCGCAAGACCUUGUGCUACUAGAGCGGCCGAUGGCAGAUUAGGUAGUUGGUGGGAUAAAAGCUUACCAAGCCGACGAUCUGUAGCUGGUCUGAGAGGACGAUCAGCCACACUGAGAAUGCGACACGGCCCAGACUCCUACGGGAGGCAGCAGUGGGGAAUUUUGGACAAUGGGCGCAAGCCUGAUCCAGCAAUGCCGCGUGCAGGAUGAAGGCCUUCGGGUUGUAAACUGCUUUUGUACGGAACGAAAAGCCCCGGGUUAAUACCCUGGGGUCAUGACGGUACCGUAAGAAUAAGCACCGGCUAACUACGUGCCAGCCGCCGCAGUAA